UACGUAGGGUGCAAGCGUUAAUCGGAAUUAUUGGGCGUAAAGCGCGCGCAGGUGGUUUCUUAAGUCUGAUGUGAAAGCCCACGGCUCAACCGUGGAGGGUCAUUGGAAACUGGGGAACUUGAGUGCAGAAGAGGAAAGUGGAAUUCCAAGUGUAGCGGUGAAAUGCGUAGAGAUUUGGAGGAACACCAGUGGCGAAGGCGACUUUCUGGUCUGUAACUGACACUGAGGCGCGAAAGCGUGGGGAGCGAACAGG
rnacentral:rRNA from 1 species